CAACAUCCUUCCUCUAUUAUGGUUUACCAGCAGAUUACAAAAAUCUAAAGCUCUUACUACUGAGUAAACUCUAAAAAUAAUCUAGAAAAGAACUGGAAGAAAAUAUAAUAUUAAUGUAGUCAUUCAUUUUGGGAUUUUGGCCUUUUAUUUUUCUCCUGACUUUCUCUAUUUUCACUUUUUUAAAUGUGCGCAAUAUGUUAAUUUCAAAGAUAAUUUAAAAUGUACAGUUUUAUUAAUCACAACAACUGGAUGUGAAGCAUUUUCCCAAUUCUGAAAAACUGCUUGAUAAUGUAAGCCAAUUCAGAAAACAUAUCUGAGUCAGUCAUUCAGCAAUUUUUAGAGUAAAAAACUGUAUACAUAUCCAAAAUUUAGCCUGCUUUGGUCAAAGAAGUUGACAUAAAAUGUUGCUUACAGUAGUGCUUAGCAUUUAAGAGUUUCCCAUCUGUGAGAUCACUGUCAGCCCUGUGUUAUGGGGGAGGCAGGUGGGCAUGGCGACUGAUCCAGUGUCAGAAAACCAGUCACUGGCAGAGGCGUGACCUCGUCCGCUGCCCUUUCCACUUCUCACGUCUUGAGGAGCUCGUGCUUUCUUCUGCAGGCUCCUAGGUGCACAUUUGGACAUGUGCAGACUGUCAGACAGCCACAUGAGCAUCACAGGCCGCACAGAAGUUUCCCUGCUCAAGGCAGCUGGUGCCCAUGGACAGAAUCUUGACGGAUGCAACUCAUAAAAAAUGUGGAGUUUUGUUUGGAAUUUAUGUGAAAGAAGGAACUAAAGUAAUAUCAAGGAAGCCAAAACCAAAC
rnacentral:lncRNA from 1 species